rfam:Pteropus alecto contig41358, whole genome shotgun sequence.
GGCUCCAUAGUGUAGUGGUUAGCAUAUCUGCUUUACACGCAGAAGGUCCUGGGUUCGCACCCCAGGUGGAGCCA